GUCGGUUUCUGGAGUCUGCGGGUGGGUGUUUAGAUAGCGCCAUCCGUUGCGGCGUUUAGAGUCCACCAACAGGUGAUGUCCUAGGGCACUUGUCUUUGCCUUUCUGGCUUCCUUCGCUUAGUAUGAGGGUCUCUCGUUCCAGCCCCGCGGCGGCAGAUGGCACUCGUUCUGCCGCUUUUUCCUGGCUGUGUGCGAUGCCAUCGCAUAGAUGUCCCCGGGCCUUCGAAGUGCACUCACCUGUCAGUGGACCUUUAGGUGGCUUCCAGAUCUUGGCUCUGCCCCGCGGCGGCAGAUGGCACUCGUUCUGCCGCUUUUUCCUGGCUGUGUGCGAUGCCAUCGCAUGGAUGUCCCCGGGCCUUCGAAGUGCACUCACCUGUCAGUGGACCUUUAGGUGGCUUCCAGAUCUUGGCUCUGGUGAGUA
rnacentral:lncRNA from 1 species